GAUGAACGCUGGCGGCGUGCCUAACACAUGCAAGUCGUACGGAGCUCGAUCUUCGGAACGGGUUAGUGGCGCACGGGUGAGUAACACGUAGGUGGACCUACCCCAGAGUGGGGAUAACUUCUCGAAAGAGAGGCUAAUACCGCAAUACACUCGGUCCAUUCAUUUGGCCGAGCAAAGCUCCGGCGCUUUGGGACGGGCCUGCGUCCGAUUAGCUAGUUGGUAGGGUAAUGGCUUACCAAGGCUUUGAUCGGUAGCUGGUCUGAGAGGACGAUCAGCCACACUGGCACAGACACACGGGCCAGACUCCUACGGGAGGCAGCAGUGAGGAAUAUUGGGCAAUGGGCGAAAGCCUGACCCAGC
rnacentral:rRNA from 1 species